UGGUGAGAGUGUAGGGGUGAUAGGGUAGCCUAGUGGUUAGAGUGUAGGGGCGGUAGGUAGCCUAGUGGUUAGAGUGUAGGGGCGGUAGGUAGCCUAGUGGUUAGAGUGUAGGGGCGGUAGGUAGCCUAGUGGUUAGAGUGUAGGGGCGGUAGGUAGCCUAGUGGUUAGAGUGUAGGGGCGGUAGGUAGCCUAGUGGUUAGAGUGUAGGGGCGGUAGGUAGCCUAGUGGUUAGAGUGUAGGGGCGGUAGGUAGCCUAGUGGUUAGAGUGUAGGGGCGUUAGGUAGCCUAGUGGUUAGAGUGUAGGGGCGGUAGGUAGCCUAGUGGUUAGAGUGUAGGGGCGGUAGGUAGCCUAGUGGUUAGAGUGUAGGGGCGGUAGGUAGCCUAGUGGUUAGAGUGUAGGGGCGGUAGGUAGCCUAGUGGUUAGAGUGUAGGGGCGGUAGGUAGCCUAGUGGUUAGAGUGUAGGGGCGGUAGGUAGCCUAGUGGUUAGAGUGUAGGGGCGGUAGGUAGCCUAGUGGUUAGAGUGUAGGGGCGGUAGGUAGCCUAGUGGUUAGAGUGUAGGGGCGGUAGGUAGCCUAGUGGUUAGAGUGUAGGGGCGGUAGGUAGCCUAGUGGUUAGAGUGUAGGGGCGGUAGGUAGCCUAGUGGUUAGAGUGUAGGGGCGGUAGGUAGCCUAGUGGUUAGAGUGUAGUGGCGGUAGGUAGCCUAGUGGUUAGAGUGUAGGGGUGGUAGGUAGCCUAGUGGUUAGAGUGUAGGGGUGGUAGGUAGCCUAGUGGUUAGACUGUAGGGGGCGGUAGGUAGUCUAGUGGUUAGAGUGUAGGGGCGGUAGGUAGCCUAGUGGUUAGAGCUUUGGGCCGGUAACCGGGAAGGUUGCUAGAUCGAAUCCCCGAGCUGGUUGUUGAAAUCUGUCGUUCUGCCACUGAACAAGGCAGUUAAUCCAAUGUUCGUAGGUUGUCAUUGUAAAUAAGAGUUGGUUCUUAACUGACUUGCCAAGUUGAAUAAAAGUUUUUGAAAAAAACACUGCAAAGGUUUUGAAUUGUACCAUUCUGGCAGGUCAACCUCGUGAUUUGUUG